AGGAGUUGAAUUUAGCAUCAGAAGCCAUAAUCAUUUCUACAAAACAGAUUUCUCAAAAUACUCGCGGUAUAACUAUUGCAAAACAUAGCCUUUAAGUGGAUACGUGUGUUUAUUUCAUUCACCGACACGCACAACAGUAAAAGUCUAAGCCGGUUCUAACAGCUAGGAAGAACGGUGAGAGACAGGUCCACGUCUCCAUCCUUCUCACCAAUCUGCAUCUUCAGUCCAUCCAGGAGCUCCUGAGUGGAUGGUAGCGCCCCUUCCUGCUCAUUGGAGAACUCUUGUCCGACCGCCGAUGGCUGGCUCUCCUUGACCCUAUUCGACCUUGGCAGCUCGUGAAGGGUUAUCUGGCCUUUUUGCGGACCGACUUGUGGCACCUUGAGAUGCCGCCCUUUCGCUGGUCCGUCUCUCCGACGACGUUGCGUAGACUAGGUGACGCCUUCGAUUCCUACGUCUUGAAGCAGACGCGGAGUCAGCAUCUACGUGUCGUGCAGUGGUAGGAUGAAAUUUCUUUGAACCAUGCGAACAUAUUUUGGCAAAAUAAAUGUUUAUAUAAAUUAA